rnacentral:rRNA from 1 species
AUGCUUGAGAAGGCCACGCUUAGGAAGGAGCAGAAGAUGGAGGGAAGGAAGCGGGCGGCCCCAUCUCGCGAGCUUCUGCUGCUGGUCGUGGAGCUCCUGGAGCUCGCCACGGAGGGUGCGCCUCCACUCCUUCGCAAGGACGCGCUUCAGCUAGCGGAGGCCUGCGGCAUCCCCGAGUUCGACCUCAACCUGGUGCCAUCCACUUGGAAUGUACGUGGUUUGGGUAGGCACAAAAAAUGUACUGACGUCAAAGCCGCCAUAUCUUCCUCUACAUGCUCCGUGUUGUGUUUGCAAGAAUCAAAACUCAUAGACAUCUCUCAUUUUAAGGCUAUCUCUUUUUUACCACCCAACCUUAGAUCCUUCCAUUCCAUCCCCGCCAAUGGAUCUGCGGGAGGAAUUAUCACCGCUUGGGACGACAAUGUUCUGCCUUGCUCCAAGGUGGUGGAUGGCCCCUUUUCCUUAACCUCCUGGUUUGACUCGCGAGCCAACGAUCUCUCCUUUGCGGUCACAAAUGUGUAUGGGCCGUGCGACCAUGUUUUAAAACGCUUGUUUCUACAGUCGCUCGUUGAUCUUAAACCCGACAUCUCCUGCCCUUGGACAAUCAUUGGGGACUUCAACAUCACUCUCAAGCCGUCGGACAAAUCCUCCUCCCACUUCAACAUGAGCGAAGCGCAUCUCUUCUCCUCAACCAUCAACACUCUUCAGCUUCAGGACCUCCCUUUUCUUGAUCGCCGCUUCACCUGGUCGAACUAGUAGGACGUGCCCAUCCUCGUUCGGUUGGAUAGGGCACUUGCAGACAUUCCUUGGGCUUCAUAUUUUCCGGAUACUUCACUAGUCUCUAUAACUCGUACAACCUCAGACCAUGUUCCUAUUCGCCUUUCGGCCAAGACAUCUAUU